UCCCAGGCAGAGAUACAAUGCUAACAGUAGGCAGAUGUACAAAUGAAACAAAAUAUAACCAUUCCUUUUCUUUGUAUGGAAGAAAAAGUUGACCACUACAAUAUCCUCAAAGGCUUGUAUUUUCCAGCACAUACGAUGCUAUUGGAUGAUUACACAUUAGCUGCAGUCAGCUGCACUAAACUGAAACAUGGAAAUCAACAACUACAAGGGUGCCAAAGCCUCAGGAAUAAAAGUGGUUAGUAAUGUAAGCAAGUUGGGUCUGUUUUGUACAGCUGGUGAAUUAUCAAAUUGGAUAUCUGCUCUUUGCAAAGCUACUGUAUAGGAUUGGCUAUAAGCAUUGUCUUUGGUGUGAGAUUUAAGGUGCAAUUGACCUGGGAUAAGUGACUGGUACUUUGAAACUGGGAGUAACCUGAAUAUUGCUGUGAUUCCUGGUGUAAGAGACCAUAUUCUACAAAGAUCUGCGGAAUGUGAGAAAUGUUGCUGACUCAGCACCUGGCAAGAUGCUCACAGCCCUGGCAGCCCCAUUAAAGUAAAUCUGUUGUGAUGACUAAGCGCAGGUCUCCACUACCACUUAAGUCGAUUUAACUUACAUUGUUUAGGGGUGUGAAAAAGCCCCCUCCCCCAAGUGACGCAAGUUUUGCGCUGUCUACGCCAGCACUAAGUCAGUGGGAGAUGCUCUCCUGUCGACAUAGCUUACGCUUCUCACCGAGGUGGAGUUAAUUAUUCUGACGGGAGAGUGCUCUCCCAUCGGCAUAGCAUGUCUUCACCAGACGCGCUACAGCUAGGCAGCUGCGCCAAUGAAGCGCUAUAGUGUAGACUUGCCGUAAGUGCA